UACGGGGGGGGCAAGCGUUGUUCGGAAUUACUGGGCGUAAAGGGCGCGUAGGCGGCCAUCUAAGUCAGACGUGAAAUCCCCCGGCUUAACCUGGGAACUGCGUCUGAUACUGGACGACUGGAGUUUGGGAGAGGGAUGUAGAAUUCCAGGUGUAGCGGUGAAAUGCGUAGAUAUCUGGAGGAAUACCGGUGGCGAAGGCGGCAUCCUGGACCAAUACUGACGCUGAGGCGCGAAAGCUAGGGGAGCAAACGGG
rnacentral:rRNA from 1 species